UACAGAGGUCCCAAGCGUUGUUCGGAUUCACUGGGCGUAAAGGGUGCGUAGGCGGUCGGGUAAGUCUGAUGUGAAAUCUCACAGCUUAACUGUGAAACUGCAUUGGAUACUAUUCGGCUAGAGAGUUGGAGGGGGGACUGGAAUUCUUGGUGUAGCAGUGAAAUGCGUAGAUAUCAAGAGGGACACCAGUGGCGAAGGCGAGUCCCUGGACAACUUCUGACGCUGAGGCACGAAAGCUAGGGGAGCAAACAGG
rnacentral:rRNA from 1 species